rnacentral:rRNA from 1 species
GACGAACGCUGGCGGCGUGCUUAACACAUGCAAGUCGAACGGAAAGGCCCUGCUUUUGUGGGGUGCUCGAGUGGCGAACGGGUGAGUAACACGUGAGUAACCUGCCCUUGACUUUGGGAUAACUUCAGGAAACUGGGGCUAAUACCGGAUAGGAGCUCCUGCUGCAUGGUGGGGGUUGGAAAGUUUCGGCGGUUGGGGAUGGACUCGCGGCUUAUCAGCUUGUUGGUGGGGUAGUGGCUUACCAAGGCUUGGAGGGGUCGCCGGCCUGAGGGGGUGACCGCACACUGGGGCAGAGAGACGGGCCCGACGCCCACGGGGGGGAGAAGGGGGGGAAAUUUCACAAAGGGGGCGGGCCCGAGGGAGAAAAGCCCCGGGGGGGGGGACGGCGCUUUGGGUGUAAAACCCUUUUAGCAGGGACGAAGCGGGUGGGGAAGGGAAAUGGAUAAGAAGCACCGGCUAACUACGUG